CCUGGCCCCGGUUCGCCGGGGGGCUUUCUGCCCCCGGGCCCGUCGCCCGCCGAAGCACCCUAGAACCCCUGUCUGGAACAGUGAGUCUGAGUUCGGAUAUGAAUCAUUAAAACUUUCAACAACGGAUCUCUUGGUUCCGGCAUCGAUGAAGAACGCAGCGAAAUGCGAUAAGUAAUGUUGAAUUGCAGAAUUCCGUGAAUCAUCGAAUCUUUGAACGCACAUGUCGUCCCCCUGGCAUUCCGGGGGGCAUGCCUGUCCGAGUCGUCAUUUCUGCCCUCCAGCACGGCUGGGUUGUUGGGCGCUGUCCCCCCGGGGACACGCCCCAAAAGCAGUGGCGGUCGCCGUCGUCGGGUCCUCGAGCGUAUGGGGCUUGUCACCCGUCUCGGGAGGGACUCGGUCGGCGCUGGUCUUCCUCCAGGCGACCCUU
rnacentral:rRNA from 1 species